rnacentral:rRNA from 1 species
AUUGAACGCUGGCGGCAUGCCUUACAUAUGCAAGUCGAACGGCAGCACGGGUGCUUGCACCUGGUGGCGAGUGGCGAACGGGUGAGUAAUACAUCGGAACGUACCUUAUCGUGGGGGAUAACGCAGCGAAAGCUGUGCUAAUACCGCAUACGCCCUGAGGGGGAAAGCGGGGGAUCGAAAGACCUCGCGCGAUUAGAGCGGGCGAUGCCUGAUUAGCUUGUUGGUGGGGUAAAAGCCCACCAAGGCGACGAUCAGUAGCUGGUCUGAGAGGACGAUCAGCCACACUGGGACUGAGACACGGACCAGACUCCUACGGGAGGCAGCAGUGGGGAAUUUUGGACAAUGGGGGCAACCCUGAUCCAGCAAUGCCGCGUGAGUGAAGAAGGCCUUCGGGUUGUAAAGCUCUUUUGUCAGGGAAGAAACACCGGCUCUAACACAGUCCGGGAAUGACGGUACCUGAAGAAUAAGCACCGGCUAACUACGUGCCAGCCGCCGCAGUAA